rnacentral:lncRNA from 1 species
AAAAGAAGUGCAAAAAUGCAAUUUAGUACCUAGUGCAUCUUGCAGUUUCUUCCAAAACCGAGAUGUAAACCUCAGAUCUGUAUCCGACACAAUAGAAUUAGGUACUCUGUGUAAUCUCACAAUCUGGGAAAUAUAUAACUUAGCAAGUUUAUCGAGCGAAUAAUCUGUUUGAACCGAAACAAAGUGUGCAGAUUUAGUCAAUCU